rnacentral:rRNA from 1 species
CUGCUAUCGGUGUCCGACUAAGCCAUGCGAGUCAAAUGUUCUUCGUGAACAUGGCAGACUGCUCAGUAACACGUGGAUAACCUACCCUAAGGACAGGAAUAACCCCGGGAAACUGGGGAUAAUACNUGAUAAAUUAGAGAUGCUGGAAUGCCCUCUAAUACGAAGGUCCGCCGCCUUAGGAUGGAUCUGCGGCUCAUCAGGUAGUAGUGGGUGUAACGUACCUACUAGCCUACGACGAGUACGGGUUGUGAGAGCAAGAGCCCGGAGAUGGAUUCUGAGACACGAAUCCAGGCCCUACGGGGUGCAGCAGGCGCGAAUCCUUUACAAUGCAGGCAACUGCGAUAAGGGGACACCGAGUGCCAGUGAAUUUUAUUGGCUGUCUUAAUGUUUAAAACGCAUUCAAUAGCAAGGGCUGGGCAAGACCGGUGCCAGCCGCCGCGGUAAUACCGGCAGCCCGAGUGGUAACCACUAUUAUUGGGUCUAAAGGGUCCGUAGCCGGGCCAAUCAGUCUUCUGGGAAAUCUGGCAGCUCUACUGUCAGGCGACUAGGGGAUACUGUUGGCCUUGGGACCGGAAGAGGUAAGAGGUACUUUAGGGGUAGGAGUGAAAUCUUGUAAUCCUUAAGGGACCACCAGUGGCGAAGGCGUCUUACCAGAACGGGUCCGACGGUGAGGGACGAGAGCUAGGGGCGCAAACCGGAUUAGAUACCCGGGUAGUCCUAGCCGUAAACGAUGUUCGCUAUGUGUCAGGGACGGCGUGACCGUUCCUGGUGCCGAAGGGAAGCUGUGAAGCGAACCACCUGGGAAGUACGGCCGCAAGGCUGAAACUUAAAGGAAUUGGCGGG